rnacentral:rRNA from 1 species
UACGUAGGGUGCGAGCGUUGUCCGGAAUUAUUGGGCGUAAAGAGCUCGUAGGCGGUUUGUUGCGUCUAUCGUGAAAACCUGCAGCUUAACUGUGGGCUUGCGGUGGAUACGGGCAGACUUGAGUUCGGUAGGGGGAGACUGGAAUUCCUGGUGUAGCGGUGAAAUGCGCAGAUAUCAGGAGGAACACCGGUGGCGAAGGCGGUGGUCUGGGCCGGCACUGACGCUGAGGAGCGAAAGCGUGGGGAGCGAACAGG